rnacentral:tRNA from 1 species
ACUAAGAUGGCAGAUCAGUGCGUAAGAUUUAAGUUCUUAUUAGGGGGUAUAACUUAUACCCUUCUUAGUA